UACGUAGGCAGCAAGCGUUGUUCGGAGUUACUGGGCGUAAAGAGUGCGUAGGUGGUGCCCUAAGUCUGUUGUGAAAUCUCCCGGCUUAACUGGGAGGGUGCGGUGGAAACUGGGGUGCUUGAGUGUGGGAGAGGUAAGCGGAAUUCCUGGUGUAGCGGUGAAAUGCGUAGAUAUCAGGAGGAACACCCGGUGGUGUAGACGGCUUACUGGACCACGACUGACACUGAGGCACGAAAGCGUGGGUAGCAAACAGG
rnacentral:rRNA from 1 species